rnacentral:rRNA from 1 species
CGUCUGCUGUGAAAGCCCGGGGCUUAACCCCGGGUGUGCAGUGGGUACGGGCAGACUUGAGUGCAGUAGGGGAGACUGGAACUCCUGGUGUAGCGGUGAAAUGCGCAGAUAUCAGGAAGAACACCGAUGGCGAAGGCAGGUCUCUGGGCUGUUACUGACGCUGAGGAGCGAAAGCAUGGGGAGCGAACAGGAUUAGAUACCCUGGUAGUCCAUGCCGUAAACGUUGGGCACUAGGUGUGGGGGACAUUCCACGUUUUCCGCGCCGUAGCUAACGCAUUAAGUGCCCCGCCUGGGGAGUACGGCCGCAAGGCUAAAACUCAAAGGAAUUGACGGGGGCCCGCACAAGCGGCGGAGCAUGCGGAUUAAUUCGAUGCAACGCGAAGAACCUUACCAAGGCUUGACAUACACCGGAUCGGCUCAGAGAUGGGUUUUCCUCCUUGUGGGGCUGGUGUACAGGUGGUGCAUGGUUGUCGUCAGCUCGUGUCGUGAGAUGUUGGGUUAAGUCCCGCAACGAGCGCAACCCUCGUUCUAUGUUGCCAGCACGUGAUGGUGGGGACUCAUAGGAGACUGCCGGGGUCAACUCGGAGGAAGGUGGGGAUGACGUCAAAUCAUCAUGCCCCUUAUGUCUUGGGCUUCACGCAUGCUACAAUGGCCAGUACAAUGGGUUGCGAUACCGUGAGGUGGAGCUAAUCCCAAAAAGCUGGUCUCAGUUCGGAUCGUGGUCUGCAACUCGACCACGUGAAGUCGGA